GGUAGAGUCCAGUGUGUGGGUAGAGUCCGGUGUGUGGGUAGAGUCCAGUGUGUGGGUAGAGUCCAGUGUGUGGGUAGAGUCCAGUGUGUGGGUAGAGUCCAGUGUUGUGUGGUAGAGUCCAGUGUGUGGGUAGAGUCCAGUGUGUGGAUAGAGUCCAGUGUGUGGGUAGAUCCAGUGUGUGGGUAGAGUCCAGUGUGUGGGUAGAGUCCUGUGUGUGGGUAGAGUCCAGUGUGUGGGUAGAGUCCAGUGUGUGGGUAGAGUCCAGUGUGUGGGUAGAGUCCAGUGUGUGGGUAGAGUCCAGUGUGUGGGUAGAGUCCAGUGUGUGGGUAGAGUCCAGUGUGUGGGUAGAGUCCAGUGUGUGGAUAGAGUCCAGUGUGUGGGUAGAGUCCAGUGUGUGGGUAGAGUCCAGUGUGUGGGUAGAGUCCAGUGUGUGGGUAGAGUCCAGUGUGUGGGUAGAGUCCAGUGUGUGGGUAGAGUCCAGUGUGUGGGUAGAGUCCAGUGUGUGGGUAGAGUCCAGUGUGUGGGUAGAGUCGAGUGUGUGAAUAGAGUCCAGUGUGUGGGUAGAGUCCAGUGUGUGGGUAGAGUCCAGUGUGUGGGUAGAGUCCAGUGUGUUGGUAGAGUCCAGUGUGUGGGUAGAGUCCAGUGUGUGGGUAGAGUCCAGUGUGUGAGUAGAGU
rnacentral:lncRNA from 1 species